rnacentral:rRNA from 1 species
AGCUCCAAUAGCGUGUAUUAAAGUUGUUGCAGUUAAAAAGCUCGUAGUUGGAUUUCUGGCUGGGCAUGUGGGUUCACUCUUUGAGUUGGCACCAUACAUGUCUGACCAUCCUUUGGGAGAGCCACAGUGGCAUUAAGUUGUUGGUAUGGGGAUCUCAAUCCUUUACUGUGAAGAAAUUAGAGUGUUCAAAGCAGGCUUACGCCUUUGAAUAUAUUAGCAUGGAAUAAUGACAUAGGACUAUUAUACUAUUUUGUUGGUUUGCGAGCAAUAGUAAUGAUCAACAGGGACAGUUGGGGGUAUUUGUAUUCCCUUGUCAGAGGUGAAAUUCUUGGAUUUUUUGGAAGACAAACUACUGCGAAAGCAUUUACUAAAGAUGUUUUCA